rnacentral:lncRNA from 1 species
CAAUAUGUCAAUUACUUUUUCAAUUAGAUUUUCUCCAAGGUAUCCAUAAAAUAAAAAAAAUGUAAUAAAUGUGCCCAAAGAAGCAUGGUUCUAGUGUGUGUGCGUGCUAAGAAGUGCUAAGGAAGAUAUCCAGCUUACUCAUGCACUUCCUCCUGGCUUGAGAGCUAGAGUCAGCUGAAAUGCCUGCUGUUUUCACCUUUUCAUGCUUUGUUGCUUGGCCUAAGGGCUUCGCACUCUGCUAACCCUCUUGGAGAGAGAUGUGACUAUAGAAAGGGUUGAUUUGAUGAAGCACCAAAUAAAAAAAGAAAGUGAAAAUGAAAUGUCAGGUUUAGUUUCUGUACUUGGGCAUUUGCGGGUCCUAGCAUGUAGGCCAUGAUGUAGGGACUAGAAAGAAGGCUUCAGCAUCCUGGCCAUCUUUCUCCCCUGCCUUCUGGCUCCCUGAAAAUCCAUCCAGUAAGGUCACGCUGCAGCUGUGCACUUAGGGGGGAGUCAGCCUUGCAGCCUGAAGCAGUGCUGUUUGCUCCCAUCAGCCAAGAUGCAGAAGGAUUUUUAUGCAAUUGAAAUUUGGCUUUGCCAACUUCAUACCACUCCUACAGAUCACUCUUCCUCCAAACCCAACACCACACACACCAGAAUCUAACAGAGUGAGAAGAUUAAAUCUCCAUGAAGGCCAAGUGGAGGGCAGCAAGUGGAGAAGCUAGUAGAUAGAAAACAGAGAUCGGCUGGCUUUGAUCCUGGAGCCUCCCCUUGCUGUACUGAGAGAUGACCUUUCUUUCAGGUCUGACAGGGUGAAUCUUCAUUAGUUAGUCUUGUACAUUGAAUUGACCUAAUGAAGGAUGGGGGCUAAGCCACUACCUCUUUGGGGUAAGUCUGGAUCAACUUUAUAGAGAAGGUGGGGCAAAGAGCAACACACAAGGAAAUCAGAUAAUCUUGAUCCUCAAGUACAGGAUGAACACAGAUCAGAUCACACCCAAAGACUCUCAGGAAACCACCAAGAAAUGAGCACUGGGAACUGAGAACAUGGUGUCUCUAUGAGAUUAAAGACAGGCAAGCACUUCUUAGAGCCAAAUGCAGGGAGGUUAAGAUGUAGAACGAACCUAUCUUCACCCAGAGAUGCUUGUUGUCUUCCUGCCAUGACCAUUCCUCACAUGGAGGUCACAGAGAGGAGUGGGUGGAAAGGGCAUCAAAGUUUCUACUCUGCUUCUGUGGUUUAGUCUUGAGCAGCCCCAUUCUUUGCCAGCACUUGAUGACGUACUGGUGGUUUACCUUCUUGGAAGACUUAGAUUAUGACACAUGAAGGGAACACCUAUAGCUUUCACUUUUUGGUCUUAGGUAUGUUUGUUAUAGAGAGUUGGAAGAGAUCAAGACUCUGUUGCAGUGUGACAGAGAGAGUGGGCUAUUUCUUAACCCUGAACAGUGGGAGAGGACAUCCCAAAGCCAAGACUGCUACCUGCCUUAAUUGCUCCAGGUACAGGGAUACUCUGAGCAAAGGGGACCAGGGAGGGGGCCCCAGACAUGAUCUUUCUUGCAGGAAUGCCAGCCAAAGGUGUGAUCUGGUUAGGAGGGCCCUGCAUACUCUGGUUCCAGCAUUGCACAAAGGGAGCUAGGGUGCUUGGGGUCAUACUCUGUCUUGUGCCAGAAGUGCUCCUUUUGGGGGCAGCCACAAUGACCUCAGGCUCCCCACAAUCCAUAGGCAUCACUAAUCCUCCAAAAGCAAAAGGUCUUGGGGCUGUGCUGCCAAAAACUGAACUGUAGGUCACACUCUGGUGGUUCUGCCUGAUAACCCUAAGGGCAGUUGAACUAGCUUUGCCGAAUGGAAACCCAGCCAGAGUGCUGCCAAAGCCUGUCUGACUGGUGGCAGGAGUGUGAAUAAUGGGAGCUGACGAUGUCAACUGCCCACAAGCUGGCUGUGUGGUCUUGCUAAGGACCAGUUGAGCAGAUGGGGUUGGAGACACACCUGAGUUCUCUGAAAGGAAAGAGGUACUGAAGCUUUGGGCAGGAGCUAGCUGGAGAGAAGAUUGCUUUAGCCCAUCUAUGGCCCCAGGUGAGCUUUGAGAAGUAUUUCUUUGGGAUGGUGGCAAAAGUGGCUUUGGGCUUGACCCCAAAGAUGAUGUGAGUGCUGAAGUCACAUUGGAGUUGCUUGAGGUCACUGGAGGCUGGUUUGUGGACGAUAAGCCCAAAGUUGCCAGAGGGUUGCUCACCCCCUUCAGUGUAUCAGUGCUUCUAAGAGGGGAUAUCUUGAUGGCACUAGUAAGAACCUGGCUAAAGAUAGUGACCGUGUGUACAGUGGGAAUUGUGGGGUGUUGGGAAGGGAAAAUUAAAUCAGUGGCCGAGGGAAAGUUCUGGGAAGCUCCAAGCAGGAAAGUGCUGCAAGAAGGGACAGAGCAAGAGUUGCCUGUGGUGCUGGUCACUAUGUUCAAAUCCACACCAGGGUCUUUGGAUUUGCUGGCUGGAAUGACAGACGUAACCACACAGGGGGCUGUGGUGGCUAGGCUGUGGAAAAGAUGGGUAGAAUCAGAACUCAGUGAAGAAGAGGGCUGCCUGGUGUGCACAGGAGCUGUCUCAGACAUAGUUUGAAGCGGUUCUAUACUGCCAAAGAUAGGCUUGAAGGUGGGCCUUAAGAUACCUGGAGUUGUAGAGGGAGAAGAGCUUGAAGAGGCCUCAGCCAUGACAGAAAUUCUGGAGUAUGAGGCAGUUCUAACCUCAGUACUGUGAACAGGCCCCCAAAUAGGUCUUAAUGCUAAGUGAGAAGACGUCUCCACGGGAAGUACAGAUGCAGGAAGAUGGAGAAUUGGGUUACUCACCACCCCAACCAAAGUGCUUUGUGUGGUGGGUGCUGUGGGGUUAAUGACAGAUGAGUGUGGGGGCACAGCAGACCUGUGAGCCCGAGGGAUUGAAGAUAGCCAGGUGGAAUCAGUGACUGGUGUUGUGGGAGAGCUUGGAGACGCCUGGGUGGAAGCAAUUGAGGGAUUUGAGUCUGAAGAGAUGCCUUGGAUGUGCUCUAACUGUGAGCACCCGAGUGGGGCAGGCAUAUUCUUCAAGCUUUCCAGCUGAGGGUUCACGUGGGUGCUAAGAACUCUCUCAGAAGACGACCGACUGAGAGACAAGGGGCUUAAAGGCGGACCAUACGGAGGCCGAAUGCCUUUGGCUGUCGGAGGUGUCCGGGAACAGUGGCUCUUCCCACCUGGCUCUGCCCUUCCUGCACUGGAGGAGGGCCCUCAGCACCGGGUCCUUUCCACAGGGCCCUGGUGGCUCCUCUGAAGGUCCCGCGGAGUUCACCACUCUUGAGACCGGGAACAAGGGCCGUGGUCUCCGCUCAGGAGGCGAGAUCUUGACUGUCACCGGACUCCAUGUGGCCCGAGGGUGACGAAGGGACCAAAUAUUACGCUUCAGGAAUGAUUGCUGGUUGCUUAAGACUGGGGCAGAAGGA